rnacentral:snRNA from 1 species
AUACUCUGGUUUCACCUCAGAUCGUAUAAAUCUUUCGCCUUUUACUAAAGAUUUCCGUGGGGAGGAACAUUUAUGAGUUUUCAACUAAUUUUUUGAGGCCUUGCUGCGGCAGGGCU